UAGAGUGUGUACAUCCUGGCCAGGGUCAUUUCUAAAUGAAAGUGCUCUCACUACGUGACUAUUGGGGGAAAACACAGUAUUUACAGUCAGAGGCUCGUAAAACAAAUCAAGCUGUCACGUAUUUCCUGCAGCUGCACGUCGGAGAAAGUGAAAAGCUCAGAGAAGCUCAGCACUUGCUCGCUGUCUUCGUCUCACGUUUGAGUGACACGCUCAUCCUCCCUGUGUUCUAAAUCUUCUUUAACUUAUCACUGCUAAGUCAUAAGUCGUCAUUUUGAGUUUGUUUACAUGCUGACUCUAAAUAUGCUGAAGUGAUUCAGUGCCGUGUGACGGUGUUUGAUUUAAGAUCUUUCGUCACCUAUAGUCAAAGUGAUGACACACAAUGCGUGGCCACUGGCAUUCUGCUCAUAAGUGUGGUAUCGUGUACAGUGCAGCUUAAAAUUUUAGCUCCUCUCUCCACAACCUCGGUGAAGUGGUUAGUUUAACUGUGUCCAGAGAGUACAGCUGUAGUGGGCGGCCUUAAAGAACCAUUGGGUAACAGGUAUUUAACCACAAGGUUGAACAUCUGGUGGAGCUGAGGGCCAUGCUCAUUAACACCAAGUUAACCUCAGGCAGGACGUGAGGUCAUGACAGACCAGAGAGCUGCAUGAUGUGUAACAGUUUGAGGUGAAGAGGUUAUUGAACUCUCUAAGGUGGCUGCUUGCUUGGAGAGAAUAUUCUGUGAACCGAUAGGAAUUCUUGACAUUUUAGUCCGAAUCUGCUGUUUUAUGUCUCCGAGCCCCACUUCCUUUCUCUGCUCUGCUCCUGGAACUUCUCUGGCAGCACAUGGGCUCAUUGAGAUGUGCAAAUCCUUUUGACACAGGAUGAAUAGACAGUUGCUGGCAGGAUGCCCCGUGCCACUUUGUGUGUUGCCACUUAAUUGGAGCGCCCCAGUUUGCCUUCCCUCCUCUCUUCUCCUACCAGCGCUCGCUAGGGCCAGGUUUUGACAUCAAAGGCGAGGUUAUGUGUCCCUUCAGAGAGCUUAAAACUCAUCAGUUGUGUUUGGCUGAGGAAGAUCUUCGGGAUCAGGAGCGCUUAAACUAUUUUUGUCAUGUUAGUGUGCAUUUCUCCAGUCAAUUUAAGGAGCUGUAAAGCUGACAAAGCAUCACAUUGGUUUAGAGUUUGCCUACACUACCUACCCCCUCUAUGUUUAAUGGUCAUGUUCCUUCUACAAGUCAACAUGCAAAGUACAGCAUCUGAGACUACAUGUACUGUACAUAUAUACAGCUACAUAUUUAGGUGUGUAUGGCUGCAUCUGAGUGCAUGCGCUUGUGUGUGUGAGUUUGAGUCAACAAACGUUUGUUUUUACUCCUCCCCAUCGCCAUGUGGGUCCAUCGGCAGCACUUGGCGCCGAGCGACGCUCCCGUCACGAAGCAGUGGAGACCUCAGCGGAGACGUGGGAGCAGUAGAGGGGUCACUGAAUGACAAUGACUGAGCCGUCAUUGUUUUCCUCGUUGCACAGAGAGGUAGAGGAAGCGCGAUGAUGGAGCACCACAGUCCAGACGUACAGCCGAGGCCUCAGGUACGCCGAUGCCCUGAAUGUGAGUUGCUGCCGGAGGCUAUGGAGACGGCGGCGUCUUCAGGGAAUUACAGGAUCCUCCCUGGCUGCUGCCGGUGGUCCCCUGAUACUGCAGAGAUAAAUACAGCACCAACACUAUUGCGCUUGACCUGCGGAGAAGAGUCCUCGACGGCACAAACGUCCUUUAAAGACGGGCAAGAAAAGCACUUGUGAGGCAGGUGGAGGCUCCGAGUCCUGCAGCAGAGACUUGCCUCAGAGCUCCAGCGGCAGCCUUCGAUUGAUUCCACGCGUCCCGAGGGCGGUUGACGGUGCGAAUGAAGUCAUAACUACGGUCUCCGUUUCCAGAGCAUCAGCGAGUUGACUGCGUCUUAGUGAGAGAGCCCUGGCAGAACAACCAACUGAGCUGAACCGUUGCACCACACCGCCAACAGCCAAUCUCAGAGAACCGACGAUGGUGCCCCCCCGCAUGGCCUGUUGCCGUGGUAACAGUGCAGCAAGUACCUCUAUGGGUCUUAUGUCUGUGGUUAUGGCUGUCUGUUUCCAUUCUCAGGUGGCAGAAAUGAUCGCUGUUCUGCUCAGCGAGCGCUGGAUCGGGUGGCACUGGUGUGGAUCAGCUGGUAAAAGGCCUGAGCCGACGCUGACUAUGUCUUUCUUACUCCACAACCUGUGUGACAGGGGAAACCUGGUGAAACCUGAUUCUGUAUUGUAGAAAGCCGCGCAGAAAUGGGCCGUGUGGCACUGAGUCAUACAAAUACACAGUCUCUCUGUGGCUGUCACUAUGAAGUUAGAAAUAUAACAUAUAUGUAAAAUACAACAAUGGGAGUGCGCCCGUCUCUAGCCUACACACUUCACUAAGUAGAUCUGAAACCGCUGACUUCCCUGUAGCCAAACUGAGGCACCGGUGCCUGUAGAUGGCUUUUCUUCCAGCUCCUAUCUGCUGCUGCGGUUUAAAUUGCUUAGCAACACAGAAAUAAGCUAAUUAAGAAAUGAUGUGUUUGGGUUAAGGCUGUGAAGCACAAUGUUAUCAUCCGAUAACUGUUAGUCAUAAGGUCAUUAGAUGCAAAUAACCAGGAGAAACAGCCUGAACAGAAACAUCGUUUUGACACAAGGCAUCAUUGAGUGGUAUUAAUCAUCUGACAUAAUAAUGUUUUGCAGGAUUGUAUCACCUUUGUUCGACUUCCACGUUUCCACAUGCAUGUGAUGGAAGCAUUCCUGCAGUGGUGAUAUUUAGAGACUACUUGCGUUGAUUACACAUGAAAGGGGAUCUUAUUUCUAAUCUAAGAGAUUGAGGAGGGUGUCUGUUGUUUGAGUAAAGACUUAUGCUUCUUGUGCACAGAAGAUGCUCCACGUCUGAAUAAUUCAUUCCGCCAAGUCGACUGAAGCCUUCUGGAUCUGACACCAUGCUGUUCAUCCUGGACACUUACACCAGUGGACUGUGGAGUUGGAGCGGUUCUCAGCCAGGUUCUCAGCAGGCCUGAACAGCACACGACCAACCACGCUUCCCUCACCCGGCUGGAAAAAGCUCAUGGCCUCACCUAUUCCUUAGGGACAAAAUGUAGAUGUAUUGUCCUGUGAAGAAGCGGGGCUUCUGGACCCUGUACUCCUGGAAUCCACAUGUGAGGCUGGAGCCGGGAGGUAGAGUUCCACAGGGAAAGAGCACUACAGUAAGGAAGCCUGGCACCGACCCCUCCCCCAGCCAACCUACUCCAGAUGUGGGGGAAGAUUCCAGCACAUGUGCACAAAGAGGCUGAGCUCUCCAACCUGAAUCUCCACUGGGGACUUGAGCGCUCGCUGCCGUGUCCGCAGACCUUUCCCACAAGUCACACUGCAGUCGCUCCAGUCAGACCAUGGAGUCAGCAGGCAGGGAAUGGUGUCUGUGCAAAGCAUUUACAUGCACCUCUGCCCCACAAAUGGAGCCAUCGGCAGGGGGCAUCUUCACAAUGCGCUCUCUCCUCUUCAUGCCAAGGCCACAGGUGGCACUGCAGACGUCCCACUCCCCCCACUCCGUGACCAGGCAGCUACUGGGAGCUACGGCCAAGAGGAAGAUGUGUUUUCAGUCUCCUCCGUGGGCAGUGUGCAGACUGAGCCAUCGUCGGGGAAUUGCUUAACGUAACGCUCCCGGGAUCGUGAACCCGUCCCACAGGACAUGCUGCAUGGGGACCAGUGGAGACCUGUCUGACCUCUAUCGGCCAUCAACAUGAGCAACUACUUCCACUGGCUGGAUGUGUCCUCCCCACAGUCCUAGAGUUCUACACCAGAAAUGAGCUGAAAAAGUGUCCUGGCUGUAGAUAACCUAGUUCACACUCGAUGGACGUGAAAUGAAACCGAUAAAAUGGCAGCUUUCAUCUUUCACUUGAAGGUGUUCAGAGACCAAAUGUCCAGAGUCCAAGUGGGCCUUUCAUGCCACUGAGCAAGAGUGAAGGACAGUGUUACAGGCUCAGGCAAAAUGCGUUAGCUACAUGCUUACCUUCAUCGCUGCAUCCAGGCCCCAUGCAUGGCUCAAAGUCC